GCCGCACUACGACUCGGGAUCACUCGGGUCACAUAAAAGCACUCACACAGGCGGAAGGCCUGUGGGUGACCCGGCCUCAAACGCUGAGUGUAAAGUGUUAAUCGCAGCCAUAAAUGCAGCCAAGACAGGCACUGAGGAGUCUCCCUGAACGAAUCUGCAGAGAAGUCCUGUGUGUGUGUGUGUCAGUCUUUCUGAUGGGCUGUUAAAGCCGUCGGGGUGCUGUGAUCUGAGAGCGCACUCCAGCGAAAACGCAUAUGGUCCUGGUUAAGGCCGGGGGACAUCGGAUUAAAGAAAUUCUUCUCGAAACAGCCCGAUAACAACAGUGGAAAAGAGGCCAGCUGCAGGGGGAUUCUGCAGAACACAUUUCAGUGCAGAGAGAGCCAAACGUCCACAAAAGCAGCACCAUACCUUCUCUGAAUACAGGCCUCGAGGUAUAAUGUACCCAUCAUCAGUGACUGUGUACAGUAACAUAGACCAACAGCAAGCUUCGGUAUCAGGUAUUUAUAAAUGAAAUGCUUUUCAGACCACUGAGCAAUUAUCAAACUUAUCAAACUCAAAAU